GGACCAGACUCCUACGGGAGGCAGCAGUGAGGAAUAUUGGACAAUGGAGGCAACUCUGAUCCAGCCAUGCCGCGUGCAGGAAGACUGCCCUAUGGGUUGUAAACUGCUUUUAUAGAGGAAGAAACCUCCCUUCGUGAAGGGAAUUGACGGUACUCUACGAAUAAGGAUCGGCUAACUCCGUGCCAGCAGCCGCGGUAAUACGGAGGAUCCAAGCGUUAUCCGGAAUCAUUGGGUUUAAAGGGUCCGUAGGCGGACUAAUAAGUCAGUGGUGAAAGUCUGCAGCUCAACUGUAGAAUUGCCAUUGAUACUGUUAGUCUUGAGUCAUUAUGAAGUGGUUAGAAUGAGUGGUGUAGCGGUGAAAUGCAUAGAUAUCACUCAGAAUACCGAUUGCGAAGGCAGAUCACUAAUAAUGUACUGACGCUGAUGGACGAAAGCGUAGGUAGCGAACAGGAUUAGAUACCCUGGUAGUCUACGCCGUAAACGAUGGUUACUAGCUGUUUGGUCGAUUGAGACUGAGUGGCUAAGCGAAAGUGAUAAGUAACCCACCUGGGGAGUACGUUCGCAAGAAUGAAACUCAAAGGAAUUGACGGGGGCCCGCACAAGCGGUGGAGCAUGUGGUUUAAUUCGAUGAUACGCGAGGAACCUUACCAGGGCUUAAAUGUAGUCUGACAGAUUUGGAAACAGAUUUUUCUUCGGACAGAUUACAAGGUGCUGCAUGGUUGUCGUCAGCUCGUGCCGUGAGGUGUCAGGUUAAGUCCUAUAACGAGCGCAACCCCUGUGGUUAGUUGCCAGCGAGUCAAGUCGGGAACUCUAGCCAGACUGCCGGUGCAAACCGUGAGGAAGGUGGGGAUGACGUCAAAUCAUCACGGCCCUUACGUCCUGGGCCACACACGUGCUACAAUGGUAGGGACAGAGAGCAGCCACUUCGCGAGAAGGAGCGAAUCUUCAAACCCUAUCACAGUUCGGAUCGCAGUCUGCAACUCGACUGCGUGAAGCUGGAAUCGCUAGUAAUCGGAUAUCAGCCAUGAUCCGGUGAAUACGUUCCCGGGCCUUGUACACACCGCCCGUCAAGCCAUGGAAGCUGGGGGUACC
rnacentral:rRNA from 1 species